CCUACGGGUGGCAGCAGUGAGGAAUAUUGGUCAAUGGACGUAAGCCUGAACCAGCCAAGUCGCGUGAAGGAUGAAUGUUCUAUGGAUUGUAAACUUCUUUUAUAAGGGAAUAAAAUGCGGCACGUGUGCCUUUUUGUAUGUACUUUAUGAAUAAGGAUCGGCUAACUCCGUGCCAGCAGCCGCGGUAAUACGGAGGAUCCGAGCGUUAUCCGGAUUUAUUGGGUUUAAAGGGUGCGUAGGUGGCGUGUUAAGUCAGUUGUGAAAGUCUGCGGCUCAACCGUAAAAUUGCAAUUGAUACUGGCAGGCUUGAGUAUAGUUGAGGUAGGCGGAAUGCGUGGUGUAGCGGUGAAAUGCUUAGAUAUCACGAAGAACCCCGAUUGCGAAGGCAGCUUACUAAGCUAUGACUGACAUUGAUGCUCGAAAGUGUGGGGAUCAAACAGGAUUAGAUACCCUUGUAGUC
rnacentral:rRNA from 1 species